rnacentral:rRNA from 1 species
UACGGGGGGGGCAAGCGUUGUUCGGAAUUACUGGGCGUAAAGGGCGCGUAGGCGGCUAACUAAGUCGGACGUGAAAUCCCUCGGCUUAACCGGGGAACUGCGUCCGAUACUGGCUGGCUUGAGUUUGGGAGAGGGAUGCGGAAUUCCCGGUGUAGCGGUGAAAUGCGCAGAUAUCGGGAGGAACACCGGUGGCGAAGGCGGUUCUCUGGGCCUUACCUGACGCUGAGGAGCGAAAGCGUGGGGAGCGAACAGG